UUCAUAUGACAUCCUCUUACUUACACAGCAGCAGGUGUGUAAAUAAUUUAUUUGUUUACUAAGACUUGAUUGUUACAAAUUGUAAAAGUUAAUAGUUGAAAUAUUUUGUUACAUAAUUGGAUUCCAAAGAUUGCUUCGACAUCCAAUGUUCUCUGAGUUGGAUCCAGCUAAAUAAGUCUAACUUUAAUUAAGAAAUUGACCUGCACCGAGAGGGGAAAUCGCCCAUGGCGACAGCGACAACUACCACGACCACGGAGGCAUUUAGAGGAUGUUGUUCCCUCUGCCUUACCCAAUUAUCGGCCACCCCCACGAAACAGGCUGCCUUGGCCCCCACCUUCCUCCGCCAGCUGAUCGACCUGCUCGGUUUCGACGUGGCCCUCCCACUCUGCGACGGUUGUCAUGGCGACGUCAUCUCCGUCAUUGACAUUAUCCGACAAAUGAACAAACUUCAAAAGGCGCUGGGCCUUGGCGUGGUGGGGAUAACGAAGAAGAAGAAAGUCAUUACGGUGUUGGUGACGGCCAGUUUAGACGGUGUCGCAAUGUCUUCAGAAGCAGAAACACUGAUUAUUGCACCACAACCAGCAGUGAAGAUGAAACAAGAAGACAUCGAAGAAUGGAAUACAUCCGAAAUUCCUUCCGAUUGGAUCUUGUCAUCAAAUGUGACCGCGCAACCCCCUCCGACCAUGGGCCAUUUUUUAGAGCCUUUCUCCCCCUCGGCGACGACGUCAAAGCAAGGCAAUAACUGCCCAAAAGAUGAUGACCAAGAUCCCGACGUUAGCGGCGACGAGACAGGAUCUAGUUCUCCCGACGACGAUGAUGACCGUGGCGACGAUAAAAUCAGACCAUCUGAUUCGCCAUCACUUCCCCCAACGACAUCAACUCCUGGUCAGGCGAAAGAAAAACGUCCCGGCCUGGCAGCAAAAUUCCCGGGAUGGCAGAAAUUAAUAACUACUUUAUCCUUAAAACCACCACUCUUCCAAUGCAAUGCGUGCUCGAAAAAGUUCAAAACCAAGUCUAACAUUAAAUACCACCAAUUUUGUGGGAAUGCUGAUAGUGAAAAACCGUUCAAGUGUGACCAGUGCGACAAAGGGUUUAUUAGUAAAUCCCACUAUGAAUAUCACCUGAGAACCCAUACAGGUGAAAGGCCAUACCCUUGCUCCGAGUGUGACAAAAGUUUCAACCAAAAGAGCAAACUUACGCGUCACAUGGGUGCCGUUCACGACGGAAAAAAAGAAAAACGCUUCGUUUGUGACUUAUGUGGAGCUGGAUUUAUAACAAAAGGAAAACUACAAUCCCACGAUGUGACCCACACUGGUCAAAAACUCUUCCCCUGCAAACAUUGCGGCAAAAGAUAUCUUGAUAGACCGAGCUUAAGAAAACAUGAGAUCACUCAUACAGGUGGGCGACCCCACGUGUGCAGUCAAUGUGGAAAAAACUUUGCACACAAGGUUACGUUGGACACUCACAUGAGAACGCAUUCGGAUGUGCGACCCUACGAAUGCGAUCAAUGUACGGCAGCGUUCCAUGACAAGAAGGAUCUCAAUAGGCACGCUCUUACUCAUACUGAUGAACGUCCCUUCAAAUGCGACUUUUGUGUGGGGGAAUUUCGCCGUAAGGACGGUCUCCAACGUCACAUUAAGAACAUUCAUAUUAAGGGAAAAAAUAAGCCAAAUCUGAAAGACAGAAUUCAAACGAACUCGUCCGUUCCCGAAUUAAAAUUCGACUCAGCCGACAUGUAGGUCCAAGUUUUACAUUGUGAAACUCACGUGACAGCCAAAAAAGAAGAUGAUUUGGAUUGAGGAACUUGUCCCAAAAAGUGAAGUGGAAUCGGAUGUCAGUGAUAAUGAUGAUCCACUGAAUAUGUGAAUCACAUAUUUAGUUUAUUUAGUUACUAAAUGACUGUUCAGUAAUUUACAUAAUGUGAAUUCAUACAUGAAUAUGGUAAUAAGUGUGUAAUUAAUUGCAAAUUUGUCAUUACAUUUUAAAUUAGAUUAUACAAAAAUAUGUAUAGAAAACUCCGUUCGGAUUAUUAAUAAUACCGUUACAACCGCAUGUAACAAAGAGGUGAAA